AGUGAUACAAAACAAAAGCAACAACAACAAGAAUUUGUUAAAACUUCGCUGUUAGUAAUGUGCGUGAAUGUGCGCGCAAAAUGUGAAAUAACCAAAUACGAACAACAAUUUUCCGGCGCUCCGAAACGUAGAUGCGUUCUGUAAUGAAAGAUGUGUACGAGGAAUACGUUUUCAAUCGCAGGCAUCCGAGUUCUGGGUUGGAAAGGAUUGCUGAAGAGUUAAUGGGUAGGAGGAAAUGGAAGCUGUAUCAAGACUCGAUGCAAAGGAAUUACUUGCAGCCGCUGAACAACAACGUGAGGAAGAACGAGAAGUAUCAGAAGCAGGAGCAGCAGCAACAGGAGGUGGAAGACGAGGAGCGAAGAGGUGCGAAGGAGCACUUCGAGGAAGCGGACGGAGAGCUGGGGGAGGAAUUGACGAGGAGGAAAGGGUCGUCGACGACGGCGACCACUACGACGACGGCGCCCAGGGAGCGGGCGACCCGCGAGGACGGGGAAGAGGAACAGGAGGAGAUCGAGGAAUCGACGGCGGCGGCGGCGGCUGUUGCGAAGACGACGGUGGCGGUCGCUUCCGGUCUAAGGGUGGAGGAAGAGGAGGAGGAAGACGACGACGAAGACGAGGAGGAAGCGGAAGAAGGAGAGGUGGCGGCUGCUGCUGCUGCAAAGACGGCGCUCGCAAAGGAACAGGAGCAGGAUCUGGCGGCGGCGGCGGAAGCGGCUGCCCUCGCGGCCACCGCGACCGCCAGCCCCACGACCGGAACGACGACGAAGACGACUGCUGCCGACUUCAGGCGCGACUCGGACGACGUCACCGACGCCGAAGACGAGGACAAACUCAAGGACUGGACGCCCCAGAGCAAGUGCUACUUUUGCGUGGACGGCAAACUGGAUGAACACAACAACCACGGUGGUUUGAGUCCCCAUCAGAGCGACUCGGAUUCGAGUGACAGCCGAAGUGACCUGGAGGCGCCCCCUACACUGACGCCGACGGGGACGACGGCAUCAGCGGCGGUGUCCCUUCUCAACAACCUGAACAGCCUUAACCAUCCGAACAGCAGGAACAUGACGGCCAUCGAGAGUGUCACCUCGAUAGCGGCGAUGGCGACGGUGGCGGCGCUGACGGGGAACGGCGCUCCAGGUGGUGGUGGUGGAGGUGGCCACCAUCAGCAUCACCAGCACCACCAUCCCCAUCACCCCCAUCUGCCGUUCUAUCCGCCCAACCUGCUGUCCCAGAACUGGUUCCACCUGACCAAUUUAGCCAGAAACUUCCAUGCGAACUCCAACGAUACGGAGAAGGUGGCGGCGGCGGCGGCAGCGGCGACCGCAGCGGCUGCAGCAGCGGCUGCAGCAGCGGCAGCGGCCUCCGGCGAGCAGCCCCUCGAUCUCAGCUCCAAAGGGACCACAGUAACCAACAAUAACAACAACAACAACACAAACAACAGCAUCAUCACCAAUAGCAACAAUAAUGCCGCCGCCGCCAACAACAACAGCAUCAACAACAACAACAACGCCAUCGUCGCCGACAAACUCAACGUCAACGCGAGACUAUCUUCGCUGGACAACAAACAGAUAUUCAAUUCUGAUUUUAGAGCGAAGCCUAGGAUGUCCGCAGUUGCCGGAAGGAGGACCUACACCGAGGAGGAACUGCAGGCGGCGCUGAGGGACAUCCAGUCGGGUAAAUUGGGGACGAGAAGGGCGGCCGUCAUCUACGGCAUCCCCAGGUCGACGCUCCGAAACAAGGUGUACAAGUUGGCGCUGGAACGAGAAAGGGAAUCACACCUGAACUCGUCCGCAUCGGCCGCCACGAAUCUGUCCAAACUGGAGGACGAGGAGGCGAUGGACGAGGACAAGGAGCUUUCGGGGGCGGAGGAGGAGAAGGAGGUGGAACGGGCACUGCAGCGCCCUCUCUUAUCGAUGGACGAUCUCCUCUCGAAUUUAGAGAACUCGGAAGCGAUGAAGAUGUUGCUGCGAAAAUCGAAGGAUCAGCAGCUUCCACCAGGCGUCGCACUUCUUCAGCAGCAGCAGCAACAACACAACCUGAACAUGAAUCUUCAUCAGCAGGAGAGUUUCGCCGAGCACGGCGCUCUCAUCCAGAACCUCCUGAUGAGCGGUCUUCCCGCUCAGAAGUUGCUCGAAGGGGACGUCAGUUUGCCGGAGGUGGUCAAGAGGAUGAUCGCCGAAGAGCAGAUGCUGAUGGAGCAGGCGAAGAGCAACAACGGAGUGGAGAAGUCGACGAGCGGUGAGGCGACGAGUCCGGCGAACUCGGUGAUCCUGCUGAAGACCGAAUCCGAUAUGGAGACGGAGGAUUCCACUUCGAAUGUGAUACUGAAGAUUCCGUCCUUUAAGCCGACGAGCAGUAAAAACGGCGACGCCUUCCGCGGAGGUCACCUGGAGACGCAACUGCUCGUCUCUCCUCCGGUCACCACCAGCGAAUCCGGAUCUCCGCCGAUACUUCCCGGAAAAGGGAUGACUUUGAAGGACGUCAAAGAUGUCAUCGCGAAGAGCAUCAGCCAGAAGUUCCAGCAGAGUCCGGAGCCGACACUGAGGCAUCAUCCUUCCUCGAUCAUCGACAUGGAUUACAAGAGGUAUACGCCGCCACUGGGUGGUAUCUCGGUUAUUAAGACGCAGCAGCAGCAGGAGAUGGCGUCCAGGUCGCAGUACCAACCGCAGGUGUCGCAGCAACAACAACAGCAGAAGCAGCAACAACAACAGCAGCAAAACUCAAGUCAAGGACAGGUGGGACAGGCGUCAUCUGGCGGUGGCAAAGGGACGCGUCCGAAGCGCGGCAAGUACAGGAACUACGAUCGCGACAGUCUCGUGGAGGCGGUGAGGGCGGUGCAGAGGGGCGAGAUGUCCGUUCAUCGAGCCGGAAGUUACUACGGCGUUCCCCAUUCCACGCUCGAGUACAAGGUGAAGGAGAGACAUCUGAUGAGGCCACGCAAAAGGGACCCAAAACCGAACCCCGUCGACGAGAAGAUCGCGUCUCUGAAGCAGAACGACAUCAGGAACGCCGCGGAAUGCAAACUGAAAACGCAGGCAACCAUAAAAGCACCACAAAAGUACCCGCCCACCUCGCCUAACGGCCUGAAGUUGCCUAUCUACGAGAACAUGACGCCGAUCGGUUACAACACGGCGCCAUUCCCGUUCUGGCCUCCACCAGGUUACCAUCCACUCCCGAUGGAUUACGCCAGAUCCUCCACGUCCACCGGUUAUCCGCAGAGUCCGGAGCAGUUCUUCGCCUCGCAGAUGAUGCAGAAACUGCACGAGGAUUCCCGUGCGAACGCGAACGCCCCUGGCGGACAGCAGCUCGCCAAGAGCGCCCGACAGAUGGCGGAGUCUCUUCUCGACAGCGGCGGCUCGAACGGUUUCCUCGACGGCAUCAUCCGUUCCAGCCUCGAAUCCGGCGUCCCCGUCGGUGGCGGUGGAGACGAUCGCAAGGAAGACCUCAAGAACGUCGCCCCCGAGAACAUGUCGAACAAGGCACUCCUGGAUCAGCUGUGUCGCAACAGCCGCCUCCCGCCGCUCACCAAACCGGAACCGAGCAGCAGUUCCGGCGACGACGACCGGAAGGAGGACACGAACUCACGCGACUCCGCAGGAAUCCACACGAUCGAGCUCUCCAACGACUCCUCCCCCAGGUCCCCUGUAGGAUCGCAGGAUCACGACACCCACAACGAGAUCAAACCGCCCACGGGUCGCAUCUAUCUCAAGCAGGAGCUCACCAAACCGGAAAACCUCAAACCGGAAAUGCUCGUCCGCUACAGCAGAUCUGUCCUCCAACAACAACAGCAACAGCAGGACGAAAUCCGCAACAACGGCAACGUCGAGGGCAGCAAUUCCGAAUCGGACGCCGCGCAGGACUGACACCGUCCGCCCAGAGGGCCGCAACCCUACGAGCAGCAGCAGCAGCAACAGCAGUAUGUUAAAACAAGUGAUUUUCCCGAUCAUUCCUGAUGAGCACGACAUCUCUGAUAUCAAUUUUUAACUAUAUUUUAUUUGCAAACUCCGGACACGACAUUCUCCCCAUACAUAAACACACACGCGCAAAUCCAAAACAAAAAAAAAAACAAAAACAAAAGACAAAUAGCGAAAAUCGAGGUGGGCUGUGAUUUUUCCACAAUUAUACGGAGAAAAUAAAAAAACAAGUUUAGAGGUUAAAGUUGAGUCAAGUUUUGACAUUCCAUUUACACACAAGAAGAAAAAAAAACAUUACAAAUCGCUCAAUCUCGCGCUCAUUUUAAAGCAUUCACUAUAUUCUAUUACAUUAAGUAAAAUCUGAUGAUCUUAACUUGAAACAUUCCCUAAUUCUCAUUCAAAAGGAACAAAACAAAACAAGAAACUUGACUCGAUUUAUGCAACUUGUGAAACAACAAUAAUGACAUACAAAUUGUCAUCAUUAAUUACAGCCCAUCUCGAAUCCUCGAAACCGAACUGAAUAACAGAAACCAUUCCACCGUUGUUUUCUUUUUUUUUUAAUAGCAUUUCACACAAAAUUAUGAUUUACGUAAACUGAGAUUUUUCCACGUAUCUAUAUUAUUAUUUUGGCUUCUACUCUAUU